CAAAAGUACAACUUCUUUGAGUUAAUGCAACAAAACUACAACUUGUUUAUGUUUAGGCAACAAAAUUACAACUUCGUUAGGUUUAGGCAAUAAAACUAAAACUUAUUUAGGUUUAGAAAAAAACUAAUUGGUUUUACAUAGGAUGUGAACUCUGGUCUCCUGGGUGAAAUUCUAUUCUAUUCUAUAUCUACCUUUUUCGGUGAUCUACCAUGUGAAUAGAUGAUAAAACCUACUAGUGGGCGUAGUAGGCCACUAUUGACUCACAUCUAUAGGGCUUAUAGCGACUGAUAACAUCUAUUUAAAAGCCUGAAAACAGUCUAAUUGGCUGGGUUUCAUGCCCCUGGGGGGGGGGGGGGGGGGGGGGUGCAGUACCAUCCAUGUUGAGAAAUGCUACAAUAUUAGGUUAUGUGCUAGUUGUGCUUUGUUUAUUCAGGUGGUAAUUUCUGAUGUAGUCUCUCAGUAAUCAUGAAUCUGGUGAUUAGCAGAUCAAAUAAAUAGUAGAAUUGGGUGAAUUUGUUUGAAAA